AAUGAACGCUGGCGGCGUGCCUAAUACAUGCAAGUCGAGCGAACAGACGAGGAGCUUGCUCCCCUGACGUUAGCGGCGGACGGGUGAGUAACACGUGGAUAACCUACCUAUAAGACUGGGAUAACUUCGGGAAACCGGAGCUAAUACCGGAUAAUAUAUUGAACCGCAUGGUUCCAUAGUGAAAGACGGUUUUGCUGUCACUUAUAGAUGGAUCCGCGCCGCAUUAGCUAGUUGGUAAGGUAACGGCUUACCAAGGCAACGAUGCGUAGCCGACCUGAGAGGGUGAUCGGACAGAUUGGAACAGAGACACGGUACAGACUCCUACGGGAGGAAGCAGUAGGGAAUCUUCCGCGAUGGGCGAGAGCUUGAUGGAGCAACACCGCGUGAGUGAUGAAGGUCUUAGGAUCGGAAAACGCUGUUAUUAGGAAAGAACAAAUGUGUAAGUAACUAUGCACGUAUUGACGGUACCUAAUCAGAAAGCCACGGCUAACUACGUG
rnacentral:rRNA from 1 species